AACGAACGCUGGCGGCAUGCCUAACACAUGCAAGUCGAACGAGACCUUCGGGUCUAGUGGCGCACGGGUGCGUAACGCGUGGGAACCUGCCCUUAGGUUCGGAAGAACUCCCCGAAAGGGGUGCUAAUACCGGAUAAUGUCUUCGGACCAAAGAUUUAUCGCCUUUGGAUGGGCCCGCGUUGGAUUAGCUAGUUGGUAGGGUAAAAGCCUACCAAGGCGACGAUCCAUAGCUGGUCUGAGAGGAUGAUCAGCCACACUGGGACUGAGACACGGCCCAGACUCCUACGGGAGGCAGCAGUGGGGGAUAUUGGACAGUGGGCGAAAGCCUGAUCCAGCAAUGCCGCGUGAGUGAUGAAGGCCUUAGGGUUGUAAAGCUCUUUUACCCGGGAUGAUAAUGACAGUACCGGGAGAAUAAGCUCCGGCUAACUCCGUG
rnacentral:rRNA from 1 species